ACUUUCCCUCUUGGAAGGAGCAUAGCCCUGUAACCCCUCUAAAGAGGAAGAGAGUGUAAUGCCUUAAAGAUCUCAUUUUCUUUUUUGAUUACUCUAAACUAAAGAAGCGACGGGCCCUUCUUGAGUGAGGAAGGAACUGAUUUCCGAUUUUCGGGAAUUGAAUCCGGUGCUACUUUUUGGUAUAGAAUUGGACAAGCAACUUCUUUGCCGAAACUACUACUUCAAAGAACUCCCUUUUCUUGCAAUCCCCCUUCUCUCGAGCUUCAGCUUGACCAGCUCCUAUUUGGCCUAUUAGAGUCAGCUCCAUACCUGACGACUCCCCUCCCUCAAAGAAGGACCUCUUCGCCUAAGCUUGACUUGAAAUACCAGGUCUUUGUCCCUAAUCAAUGCAUCCAUUUAGGUCAGAAUUCUCUAUACCAUAACUCCUCUUUUCCCUACUGAGAUAGAUUUCAGGAGUACCCUGGCCGAUGAAGGAGUCUACUUUCUUGCUUACCUACCCGAGUCGGCAACUUCCUUUGAUGAGUCACAUCCCUCCUUUUUGGCCUAUCGAGUUCCGCUAAGACCUCUUUUACUUAUUACGCCUUAACCUACCUGGUACUAGGACUCAUUGUGGAAAUCCCAUAGGCCUAUCCUCCUUGGGCUUAUCCCCUAACUACUUCCACGGAGCCAUAUUCAAGGUGGUUGACCUACUUCCUCGGGUUGGAAUCCUCCGUUUUGGAAUACUUUACCUCAUCCGUCCUGUGACCUAUCCUCAGCCUCAGUCGUAGCCUGAUCCACUCUCUUUUUCCCAGCAAGUGAAUGCGAGUCCAGUUCACCCUCGGCCUCGAAAACCUGUGAAGUACGAGGAAAGAGUAGGGAUCGAGUGUGAGUUCCGAUCCUCUCUUCCCAGGCAAGAAUGAAAUUGGACGGUCUCAGCCCAGAAAGUGAAAAGAACGAGAUCUAGAACCUACAUGCUGAUGCUCACGAUUUCGAUAGUCAUACCGGUGAUUUGGAGGAGAUCUCCCGAAAAGUCUUUAGUGCUCAUUUCGGUCAACUCUCCAUUAUCUUUCUUUGGUUGAGUGGGAUGUACUUCCACGGUGCCCGUUUUUCCAAUUAUGAAGCAUGGCUAAGCGAUCCUACUCACAUUGGACCCAGUGCUCAGGUAGUUUGGCCAAUAGUAGGGCAAGAAAUUUGGAAUGGUGAUGUAGGCGGGGGUUUCCGAGGAAUCCAAAUAACCUCUGGGUUUUUUCAGAUUUGGCGAGCAUCCGGAAUAACUAGUGAAUUACAACUCUAUUGUACCGCAAUCGGUGCAUUGAUUUUUGCAUCGUUAAUGCUUUUUGCUGGUUGGUUCCAUUAUCACAAAGCUGCUCCCAAAUUGGCCUGGUUCCAAGAUGUAGAAUCCAUGUUGAAUCACCACUUAGCGGGGUUAUUAGGACUUGGGUCUCUUUCUUGGGCGGGACACCAAAUCCAUGUAUCUUUACCGAUUAACCAAUUUCUCGACGCUGGGGUUGAUCCUAAAGAGAUACCACUUCCUCAUGAAUUUAUCUUGAAUCGCGACCUUUUGGCUCAACUUUAUCCUAGUUUUGCCGAAGGAGCAACCCCCUUUUUCACCUUGAAUUGGUCCAAAUAUGCAGAAUUUCUUAGUUUUCGCGGAGGACUAGAUCCAAUAACCGGUGGUCUAUGGUUGAGCGAUAUUGCACACCAUCAUUUAGCUAUUGCUAUUCUUUUCCUGAUCGCUGGUCAUAUGUAUAGGACCAACUGGGGUAUUGGUCAUGGACUUAAAGAUAUUUUGGAGGCUCAUAAGGGCCCAUUUACAGGACAAGGCCAUAAGGGUCUCUAUGAAAUCCUAACAACGUCAUGGCAUGCUCAAUUAUCUCUUAACCUAGCUAUGCUAGGCUCUACAACUAUUGUUGUAGCUCAUCAUAUGUACUCUAUGCCCCCCUAUCCAUACCUAGCUACCGACUAUGGUACACAACUUUCCUUGUUCACACACCACAUGUGGAUUGGCGGAUUUCUAAUAGUCGGUGCUGCUGCACAUGCAGCCAUUUUUCUGGUAAGAGACUAUGAUCCAACUACUCGAUACAACGAUCUAUUAGAUCGCGUCCUUAGACACCGCGAUGCAAUCAUAUCCCACCUUAACUGGGUAUGUAUAUUUCUGGGUUUUCACAGUUUUGGCUUGUACAUUCAUAAUGAUACCAUGAGUGCUUUAGGCCGUCCCCAAGAUAUGUUUUCGGAUACCGCCAUACAAUUACAACCCAUCUUUGCUCAAUGGAUACAAAAUAUCCAUGCUGGCGCGCCUGGCGUAACAGCUCCUGGUGCAACAACAAGUACCAGCUUAACGUGGGGAGGCAGCGAGUUAGUAGCUGUAGGCGGCAAAGUGGCUUUGUUACCUAUUCCAUUAGGAACCGCAGAUUUUUUAGUCCAUCACAUUCACGCAUUUACUAUCCAUGUGACUGUAUUAAUACUUUUGAAAGGUGUUUUAUUUGCUCGCAGUUCCCGUCUGAUACCUGAUAAAGCAAAUCUUGGCUUUCGCUUCCCUUGCGACGGGCCUGGGCGAGGGGGAACAUGUCAAGUAUCCGCCUGGGAUCAUGUUUUCUUAGGUCUAUUCUGGAUGUAUAAUUCCAUUUCGGUAGUUAUUUUCCAUUUCAGUUGGAAAAUGCAGUCGGAUGUUUGGGGUACUAUAAGUGAUCAAGGGAUAGUAACUCAUAUCACAGGGGGAAACUUUGCACAGAGUUCCAUUACGAUUAAUGGUUGGCUUCGAGAUUUCUUGUGGGCACAGGCAUCCCAAGUAAUUCAGUCUUAUGGUUCUUCAUUAUCCGCAUAUGGUCUUUUUUUCUUAGGCGCUCAUUUUGUCUGGGCUUUCAGUUUAAUGUUUUUAUUCAGCGGCCGUGGUUAUUGGCAAGAACUCAUUGAAUCUAUCGUUUGGGCUCACAACAAAUUAAAAGUUGCUCCUGCUACUCAGCCUAGAGCCUUGAGCAUUAUACAAGGACGUGCUGUAGGAGUAACCCAUUACCUUCUGGGUGGAAUUGCCACAACAUGGGCAUUCUUCUUAGCGAGAAUUAUUGCAGUAGGAUAGUGGCUAGGAGGAUUUGAAAGGCAUUAUGGAAUUAAGAUUUCCCAGGUUUAGCCAAGGCUUAGCUCAGGACCCCACUACUCGUCGUAUUUGGUUUGGUAUUGCUACCGCACAUGAUUUCGAAAGUCAUGAUGAUAUUACUGAGGAACGUCUUUAUCAGAACAUUUUUGCUUCUCACUUUGGGCAGUUAGCAAUAAUCUUUCUAUGGACGUCUGGAAAUCUGUUUCAUGUAGCUUGGCAAGGAAAUUUUGAAUCAUGGAUACAGGAUCCUUUACACGUAAGACCUAUUGCUCAUGCCAUUUGGGAUCCUCAUUUUGGGCAACCCGCGGUGGAAGCCUUUACUCGAGGAGGUGCUGCCGGUCCAGUGAAUAUUGCUUAUUCUGGGGUUUAUCAGUGGUGGUAUACAAUUGGAUUGCGCACCAAUGAAGAUCUUUAUACUGGAGCUCUUUUUCUAUUAUUUCUUUCUACUGCAGUGCCGGAAUGCAAGCAAUGUUCAGUUACAGGUGAAUACCCUCCGUCUCACCAAAAGCAAGGAAAGUAGGAGUUACUUGAGGCAUAAAAGCAAGAAUGCCAGGAUUUCCCAUGAAUUGCAGAGAAGUGGACUGGGUCUGAUCGUAUGAAAGAAAUUCCUCCUCGAUCAACAUCGUAGGGGACAUCGUUGGUUAAGUGGCGGGGGGAAAAGCUAGUUCUUUCUAAAAGCAAAGGAUCCAUAAAAUGGACCAAUCGAGCAACUACGGCAAUGCUCGAUGCUAUUUCGGGGCCUAUGAGUAAGCGAAAUGAAAGGACAGGUCAAGUACAGGAAUAGGUAAGGUUUUCUGUCGCAUUUCUUUCUAUAGCAUUGCUGAAUUGCUUUAUGCACUUGUCGGCCUACUCAGCGAAUGUAUGGAUUCGGCCGGGAGGUUGGUAAGCCAGUCUAAUGCUGGAAAGGCUGAAUUGGAAUAAGUGGAUAUGGCUUGCUCGCCAGCGAAUUACGUGCAGGAAUGGAAAAAGGACAGCAGGUUAGCCCCGGGCUUAAGUCAUUUGAACGAAGGAAUGUUGAAGGCAGGCGUGUAGCUGGGUGAAAAGGUUUGGCUGUUAGGAAAGUAAGUUCAAGCAGAAAGAAUGGAAAGAAAAACAAUUGGUUUAGAAUAAGUAAUUUAGAAAGUAGUAGUUGACUUUCUUAAGCAAGUAGUGGGGCAAGCAAGAUAAAGUAGUAACGAAUAUAGGAAGAAGGGUUACACAGCUUUCUUUCCUAUUAGUAACCGCUACGCGCCUUGCUACCAAGUGCCAGUAGUGUAGGAGAUCCCUGCAAUAAGAGUAGUGAGCGAAAUCGGUUGCUUGUUGCUAGCGGGAAGGAAGGAAAGGUCAGAUUACCAAAAAAGCCAGCUGCAUGUAUACUCGUAGGAAAGACAAGAUCAGAUAGAACCGAUAGAAAGUAAGAAGGGUAAGCAAUCCUCUGAUUCUAUUUUUAUAGUCGUCCGUCAUUCGAUCGAUAGUGCAAGCCUAAAAGUCAGCUAUUUAAAUAGUCAGGUAUUGAAAUAGCAUAGUAUUAAAAGGGUACCAAACUUCUAUAAUAGUACCGAAGGCCUUUUCUUGUCUCACCGGAUAUGAAAUGCAACCUUCUACUAAUAGUAUGGGGGAUAAUAUAUUUUCCUCUAAUUAGUACCCUAAGGAAACUCUUUUUUUCUGCACGAACGAUAUAGAACUACUAUCUAUGUAUUUGGUUACCUAUGACCUAUUACCAACUUAACUAUGUUGGUCUUUCCCAUUGAAUGUCAGUCUUGAAACAUUGCCUUGUAUAUUCAGAACAGUAAUGAAAUGUCUCUGAAUCUGGUAUCCAAACGUUGUAAGUCGUACCCGGUUAUACGUAUCACCCAACAACACGUUAAGGAUGGUAUCUCUUGAAUAGGCGUAUGAAAGAUUUCUUGCUUCUUUCGAGGAACCGGACACUGGCGCUUGGGUAAGGCGUUCUCGCAGCAAAAUCCUUCGUGAGGUUUAUCUACUGGGCUUGAGUUUGAGGUCUACAUCGUAGGUAGGGUCUUCUAAAAACCACAUGAGCCUCUCACUCUUCUGUCUGAGGAGGGCAAAUAUAGGUAUAGGUAUAAAGCCUGGGCGAGUGUCUUUGUCCAGCGCGAGAAAGCUCGGAAUUGAAUGCGCAAAAUGAAUGCUUUGAAACAGUUGGUACUUUCUGAUCGGAAGAUGCUCUUUGACUUUCGCCUCUAUUGUUCAUACUUAUUUAUGUGCGGCCAGUCGUACUUCUGUUAAAAAUCCUAUCUUUGAUACAAGAUAAGAAACGCUUCGCGCCUCGCAUUUGACGGGCGGAGUUCAAUGGAUGUUAUUUCUCCUGAGCUUAAUCUCGGAAGUGAGUUAGCGAAUAAUAAAUUCUUUCCAUUCUUCCAGAUCAUUCUUUCUUUUCCCACGACUCCGGGUUGGUUUUGCAGUAGAAUGAGCUGCAGACUCCCAGUGUUAUUUCAACCUUAAGUUCCAUCGACUUAAGCGUAAGCGCCCCACCUUUUGAGAGUGCGAGAGAUUUCCGCGGCCUGUAAACACAUGGUUUUUCCAGCCGUGACCCUAAUUUACUUACUGAUUUGAAAACCUACCUCCGGCCACCCAUUGGUUAGGAUCGCCCUUUGGUUGGCGGAAGCGAGAAUCAUCUUUUUCUUUUUUGAAGUUCAAUUUCUAUCAGAGGACAAUAUGAAUAUUAUACCAUGUUCCAUUAAAACACUCAAGGGGUUAUACGAUAUAUCGGGUGUAGAAGUAGGCCAACACUUCUAUUGGCAAAUAGGAGGUUUCCAAAUUCAUGCCCAAGUACUCAUCACUUCUUGGGUCGUAAUUACUAUCUUGCUAGGUUCAGUUAUCAUAGCUGUUCGUAAUCCACAAACCAUCCCGACCGACGGUCAGAAUUUCUUCGAAUAUGUCCUUGAGUCGAGACUUGAGCAAAACGCUUUUCCUUUGCUUUUAUUUAUUGUGUAGGCUAUCGAUUCCUAAACCAAGCCGGUGAGUGUCGCUUUUACACUUCAAUUCAGAAAUUGCCUUGUCACAUAAACUCGUAAGUAGUGUUUCGGUUUGUUUCUUCGGUUCGGCUAUCCGAUGAUGGAUUGCUGCUUUCCGGAAGUUUUUGGCAAUGAAUUUAUCGUAUAAGAACUUGUUUUUUAUUUCGCUGCUCGGCUACAAGUGUCGAUGAAAUCGUGCGCAUAAACUCAACAAUAGUCUAGUUUUGGGUAUAUUAGGUUUCAAAAGAAAGGCAUUUGGAUAGGUUUCUUCAUUUUCAUUUUCCAUUCUUAAAUGUUCCCUGUAGUAUAGUAGGUUCUCCGUUGGUGUGCUCUUUCUGAAUUAGGUUGGUAAUUCUAUUUUAUCCUCUGUUUUUCUUGGUUGGACAAACCCAACCGGCGAUUUCCGACAAGUCUUUCUGCUUAGAGCAAGAAGCAGAACCCAAAUCAAGCUUUCUUUAUUUUCAUUUAUGGAUAACCAAUUCAUUUUAUUAAGUGUAGGCGCCGGAAUCAUUGUUUCGGUUGCCAUUUUUGCCGCUUAUAAAGCGGGGCAAGUUUUUGGUCUUAGAGAACAAAUCCACGCCCACACAUUGGAUAUUGAGAUUAUAAAACUCAAAAUAGAAUCUGCACUAGGGAGGCUUUUGGAAGAAACUAAUGUCCAAUUACCGGAGGGACUCUCACUCCAGGAUAUAAUUAAAAAUAUGGUUUUUCCUGGGGACUCCAUAGAGGAGCAGAUUCUGACAUAUAAUCAAAUAUAUCUUGAGCUGGUCGUUCGUGGCACCGCUAGUGCCCACUUUUUAGAAUUUGUGAAUUAUUUGAAUUAGCAGUUGCCACACUGUAGGCAACUAGCAUUUCGUUUUGGAAGUUCGUGAAAGGAAAGAAUGUUCUUGUUUUUCGUUGGAAAAACCAACGCCGACGUCAAGAUCAGUCUCCUUUCUCUUUUCGGGAGCAGAGCUGAAAAAGAUGUAGUUACCCUAUGAUGAGAUUGAGUUCAACGGAUAUGAAGGAUAGAAAUAUGCUAUUUGCUGCUAUUCCAUCUAUUUGUGCAUCAAGUCCGAAGAAGAUCUCAAUCUAUAAUGAAGAAAUGAUAGUAGCUCGUUGUUUUAUAGGCUUUCUCAUAUUCAGUCGGAAGAGUUUAGGUAAGACUUUCAAAGAAACUCUCGACGGGAGAAUCGAGUCUAUUCAGGAAGAAUUGCAGCAAUUCUUCAAUCCUAACGAAGUCAUUCCGGAGGAAUCCAAUGAACAACAACGAUUACUUAGGAUCAGCUUGCGAAUUUGCAGCACCGUAGUAGAAUCAUUACCAACGGCACGCUGUGCGCCUAAGUGCGAAAAGACAGUGCAAGCUUUGUUAUGCCGAAACCUAAAUGUAAAGUCAGCAACACUUCUAAAUGCCACUUCUUCCCGUCGCAUCCGUCUUCAGGACGAUAUAGUCACAGGUUUUCACUUUUCAGUGAGUGAAAGAUUUGUAUCCGGGUCUACGUUCAAAGCUUCUACCGUAGAACAAAUUCGAGAGGCCUUCGUACCCAUAGACCUAAUUCGAGAAGGCUUGAUAGUCCUAAGAAAGGUGAGGGUGGGGGGUUCUAUUAUGGACGAAUAAGGAAGAGGAAUAGAAUCUCAUUCAUGUGUUCAUGCUAACAGAAGAGCGGAUCCAAUACACAUAAGGCAUCGGUUGUUCUUAACAGCGAUGGCUAUUCAUUUAAGUCUUCGGGUAGCACCACCAGAUCUUCAACAAGGUGGAAAAGAAGGAGCAUGGCAGUAAUUGUCAAGGCUCUUUCCUACGUGGAAGCCUACAUCUUUGCUUGUAGGUCAGACCCAAGGAAGAAAAGAGCAAGAAAGUUUCGUCAACACAUGGCUGGCCACUUGUCUUCUAAACCAUGAGAAAAUUUCUUCGGUAGUCAGUUUAGUCUAUUCUAGGAGAUGUUCCGUACUCAGGCUAGUCAGUGCAGUGCUUUUUCUUUUGACCAAAUGCAAUGUGAUGUAAAGCACUUAAGAUCUUUGUCAAGAAGGUGAUGAAAGAAAUGGGCAGCUUGUCCAGCCAAUGGCUUACCAGCUUUCCGUCUUACCUGUCGAAUGGCAUGUGUCAUAUCUAAUAGCAGAUUGACCGCCACCAAUAUAGCAAGCUACGGGCCAGCAAGCAAUCAAUAGAAAUAUCAGUAUGAAGAGGAUGGAAAAGCUUACUGAAUACUGAAAGGACAACUUGUUAAGUAGCCAGAGAAUAAAGAAGUAGGCAGGAAAGGUGGUAUUAAAAAGAGUAAGUAAGCACUAAAAAAGAAAGUGAGUCAAAGCUACUUAGUCUGAAAGUCUGCUUUCUCUUACGGCUAAUCUAUUUACUAUCUAAUUAACCUUUUCUGGAUUCAUGUCUUCAAGUACCACGUGUAUUCUCUUGAGUGCCCUUUCUCUCAUUCCGUGGACCUACCUUUCCUAGAAAGUACCCCUUUCUCUUCUUUUGCUCUUCGCCUCUUUAGGAUGGUAGUUUUGAAGUUCAGUUGCUUUACCAGACAUUGAUUUCAGUGUAGUUUGACGGCCAGGUAAGGAUGAAAAGAAGUAGUGGCCAGAGCUAGCUUAGAAAUCCCAGGGCUACACACUACUCUUCUUGCUAUAAAGCACAUAUUGAUAAGUAAAAAAGAGAAGAAAUUGGAAAGGAUUUCUCUCUUUCACCCAUCCAUAUCCAAGACUCUACAGUUGAGUCUGAUUGUCUUAGCUCUUCUCAUUCCUAUUUAGAUAUUAAAUAUAUAGUUAUAAGUUCUAUCUACCCCUCUAUCAUCUCUCUCUUCCUUUCCCAUACAUAAUAUUGGGAGUAAUUAGAGGUAGCCGGGAGAACAUGCAUCUGCCUUGAAUACUCGGCUUGCUUUGCCUAUCCUAUUCCCUCUUCCGAAAGAUGGACAGACUGCUUUCAAUGGGAAAGUGCUCCAUCUCUCUCUGGUAAAGAGUAAGAAAAGGGAAGCCCUAGACAGAGAUUUCUUAUACCUGUCAGAAAUCCGUCUUUUCAUUUAGUUAGGACCUUAUACCUUCUAGAGUAAUGGUGUCAAGCAUUCCACUAAGAAAACAUAGUUACGUGCUGCUGGUGAGGCUGCUAGAGUAAAGUCUAGAGCUUAGUCAAUGCGUCCGCAAUAAGCUAUCCUGACUUCAUCUCCUAUAAAUUACUUACAUACGUGGCUCACGAGCCCAUCAAUAAGGACUGACUGAAGGAAGGAACAGACCGUAGCUAAAGCCGAAGAAGAUGCGAAUGCGGAUACGAUACCAGCAGACGCGCCCCUGCCUCCCUCGCAGUCAAAACUCUCCUCUCCUCAGCUAUAGUAAUUGGUCACUUGUCCCUAUCCCUAAAUUUACAUAGACCAUCUCCCCUUCCCCCGUCCCUGUCAACUAGAAAGCUAGUAAGCAACCGAUCGGCAAAACACAACCGGUCUAGCUUGGAUUCAAAAAUGUCAUAAGGGGGAUAGAGUGGUAGAAAUGUUCUUUAAAUGAAGGUGUGCACCGAUAUCUGUACGCACCAUGAAAGAAGCCCCACAAGUGAAUCUUGAUUCUUGAAUUAGAAGAUCAGCUAAGCCUUAUUUGGUCACUUCAGGUACAAGCAUUCAUAGUCAUUAUGGGAAAUUCUUUUCUAAAGGAGAUGUGUAUUAGUUCCUUUUCUAUAUGGAAAAUGCCUUCGUCUUGAAGCUACCAAUGCACACCACGGUGAAAUCAUUGUCAAUUAAUUGUUAUAUUCCCCAUAUCACCCAUAGCCACCCUAAUCUUUUUUUUGCCUCAAACUCUGCUGCCCUAUCACUCCUCGAUAAGUGUACUUACUCAGGUUGUGCACUUGGCUGAGCGAGAUCUUCCCCUUUGGCAUGAGAACCGCCUACCUACGCUAACGUAACUAAUGCAGAUGGCGGAAGUUAGUAGUUCUCCUAUCGUAGUAUUAUACGUAUUUCUCACGUGUAGACCUUAAGACCUUCUCAGUUCUGCAGGAAGGAUAUUUAUAUAUAUACCAUUCCAUAUUAAAGUAAGACGGAUAGGGCAUAUUUGACUAGGAAGCAAGCAAAGCUAGUCCCUCCAUACCAGCUAGCAGUCUUGUUUAGGGAGUCUCCUUCUUUACUGAGUAAGGUUCCCGGGUGCCUAUGCGAUUAUUAAGGCAGGGUGCUACUGUACCAGUAGUAGAGUGGGUUGAAUCAAAUCGUUUGUCUAGAGAGGGUAUAGCGAUAACCAAAGCUGACUGUACUAGAAACUUGAGAUCCUGUAUAGGCAACAGGCCUUAGAAUAGUGUAUUGAACUACAGGACAGGAACAACCUAUAAACAAGCGAAUUCAGCCUUUAGAUAAAGACAAUUGGAAAAGAAGUCGAAUCAAACCUAAGGCCUUUGUGGCAUCGGUACACUCCCCGCUGUUUCAACUACAGUUUCAACGUAGGGGGCCACUACGAGUGAACUCGCUAAAGCUGAAGAUCCACCAUCCAAUUUAGGCAUUGGGCAGAACUCUCUCAAUCAAUUAAGAUAAAGCGAGCUCUUCAAUCAAAAUAUCCCUUCCCUCACCCAACACUCACCGUAGGAAGGGGGUAUUUCAUUCAACAAAUGGAACUGGUGCAAAAGGAAGUCGAUCUUGUCUUACGGAAGACUCCCUGGAUCGCUUGUAGCUAUCCCACUCUCCCUUCCUCAAUGAGGAAGUGAGUGCGUUCUAUUUCAUUAUGGUUCACAUACUUGGCUGCUACCAGGCCUAACUAUCAAUAAGUAUAACUGCCUUCUAGCCCUUCUCUCUUUCUGGAUUGAUUCCUGCUCACAGCCUGAUAGCUUGCUUGGCUCCUUUACCCUUCAUGGUUAGAAUGGGUACCACGCGGUUCUACAGGGAUCCAUUCCAUCAUCCAUCAAUCUCUGGAUCCAGGCUCGCCUUCACUCGGUCAAGGGGUUGCCCUUUACCUCGUUCCGGUGUGAUGAACCCUUUCAUUCCUAGAACAGGGUAUCUCCAAUUUAAGUAACCAGCUUGCCAUCCUUCUCAACCCACAAUUGGAAUUCAUCCCGAUAAUCCUUAGUUAGCUGCCCAGAAGGCGAUCCAAACAAGAGCUGUAUCAGCUCAUGGGGAUGACCCAGAAUCUCUUUCUCUGGUCUGUCGAACCAACCAGCUACCAUGUAAACAACUAUACCAUGACUAGUUGACCCAC
rnacentral:lncRNA from 1 species